UACAGGAGGGUGCGAGCGUUGUUCGGAAUUACUGGGCGUAAAGCGCGCGCAGGCGGCUUCUUAAGUCCAUCGGUGAAAUGCCGGGGGCUCAACCCCGAGUGUGCCGAGGAUACUGGGAGGCUGGAGACGAGUAGAGGCAAGCGGAAUUCCGGGUGUAGCGGUGGAAUGCGUAGAUAUCUGGAGGAACACCGGGUGGCGAAGGCGGCAUCCUGGACCGGGCAU
rnacentral:rRNA from 1 species